rnacentral:rRNA from 1 species
UCAAGUGAAUAAGCGCAUACGGUGGAUGCCUUGGCAGUCAGAGGCGAUGAAAGACGUGAUAGCCUGCGAUAAGCUUCGGGGAGUCGGCAAAUAGACUGUGAUCCGGAGAUCUCUGAAUGGGGGAACCCACCUGACAUAAGUCAGGUAUCUCACACUGAAUCCAUAGGUGUGAGAGGCGAACCAGGGGAACUGAAACAUCUAAGUACCCUGAGGAAAAGAAAUCAACGAGAUUCCCUAAGUAGUGGCGAGCGAACGGGGACUAGCCCUUAAGCUCAAUUGAUUUUAACCGAACGCUCUGGAAAGUGCGGCCAUAGUGGGUGAUAGCCCCGUAGGUGAAAGGAUCUUUUGAGUGAAAUCGAGUAGGACGGCGCACGUGAAACGUUGUCUGAAUAUGGGGGGACCAUCCUCCAAGGCUAAAUACUACUGACUGACCGAUAGUGAACCAGUACCGUGAGGGAAAGGCGAAAAGAACCCCGGAGAGGGGAGUGAAAUAGAACCUGAAACCGUAUGCGUACAAGCAGUGGGAGCCUACUUUGUUGGGUGACUGCGUACCUUUUGUAUAAUGGGUCAGCGACUUAUAUUCAGUGGCAAGCUUAACCGUAUAGGGAAGGCGUAGCGAAAGCGAGUCUUAAUAGGGCGUUUUAGUCGCUGGGUAUAGACCCGAAACGGGCGAUCUAUCCAUGAGCAGGUUGAAGGUUAGGUAACACUGACUGGAGGACCGAACCCACUUCCGUUGAAAAGGCAGGGGAUGACUUGUGGAUCGGAGUGAAAGGCUAAUCAAGCUCGGAGAUAGCUGGUUCUCCUCGAAAGCUAUUUAGGGUAGCGCCUCAUGUAUCACUCUGGGGGGUAGAGCACUGUUUCGGCUAGGGGGUCCAUCCGACUUACCAAACCGAUGCAAACUCCGAAUACCCAGAAGUGCAAGCAUGGGAGACACACGGCGGGUGCUAACGUCCGUCGUGAAAAGGGAAACAACCCAGACCGUCAGCUAAGGUCCCAAAGUUGUAGUUAAGUGGUAAACGAUGUGGGAAGGCUUAGACAGCUAGGAGGUUGGCUUAGAAGCAGCCACCCUUUAAAGAAAGCGUAAUAGCUCACUAGUCGAGUCGGCCUGCGCGGAAGAUGUAACGGGGCUCAAACUACACACCGAAGCUACGGGUUCAUCGCAAGAUGAGCGGUAGAGGAGCGUUCUGUAAGCCUGUGAAGGUGAGUUGAGAAGCUUGCUGGAGGUAUCAGAAGUGCGAAUGCUGACAUGAGUAACGACAAUGCGAGUGAAAAACUCGCACGCCGAAAGACCAAGGGUUCCUGCGCAACGUUAAUCGACGCAGGGUGAGUCGACCCCUAAGGCGAGGCUGAAAGGCGUAGUCGAUGGGAAACAGGUUAAUAUUCCUGUACUUCUAAUUACUGCGAUGGGGGGACGGAGAAGGCUAGGCCAGCUUGGCGUUGGUUGUCCAAGUUUAAGGCGGUAGGCUGACUGUUUAGGUAAAUCCGGACAGUUAAGGCCGAGAGCUGAUGACGACUCUUCUUAUGAAGAGGAAGUGGUUGAUGCCAUGCUUCCAGGAAAAGCCUCUAAGCUUCAGGUAAUUAGAAAUCGUACCCCAAACCGACACAGGUGGUCGGGUAGAGAAUACCAAGGCGCUUGAGAGAACUCGGGUGAAGGAACUAGGCAAAAUGGCACCGUAACUUCGGGAGAAGGUGCGCCGGUGAGGGUGAAGGACUUGCUCCGUAAGCCCAUGCCGGUCGAAGAUACCAGGCCGCUGCGACUGUUUAUUAAAAACACAGCACUCUGCAAACACGAAAGUGGACGUAUAGGGUGUGACGCCUGCCCGGUGCCGGAAGGUUAAUUGAUGGGGUUAGCGCAAGCGAAGCUCUUGAUCGAAGCCCCGGUAAACGGCGGCCGUAACUAUAACGGUCCUAAGGUAGCGAAAUUCCUUGUCGGGUAAGUUCCGACCUGCACGAAUGGCGUAACGAUGGCGGCGCUGUCUCCACCCGAGACUCAGUGAAAUUGAAAUCGCUGUGAAGAUGCAGUGUAUCCGCGGCUAGACGGAAAGACCCCGUGAACCUUUACUGUAGCUUU